UCGGUGAUUGGGCCAAUUCGUAAUCCUUCUUGAUCGAUGAUUUUGUAUGCUCCAAUUGUGAAAACUUUUUGACGAUGUAGGGUCCGUCCCAUUUAUAUGUGAAUUUAUUUCUCAUAUGUCUCGUCGUGAUGAUAGGUCUUCUUACUGCAAGCACUAACUCACCAAGAAGGACAUGGCGGAGCAUAAAGGGGAGAGUGACAGCAGCAAAAGUGAUCGUCAUUGGAAAAGACCUUUGAAGAAAGGGAAGACAUCAGGUGAUGAAUCUUGUGGAAGGGGCUCGAGUGCUAUGGGAAUUCCCGAUGUCCCACCAUUGCUUUGCAUCUUUUCCUUCUUUAAUACUUUUCUUUUACUGUUCAUCUUCUUCGUGAGCGAUUUAUCUAUUGCUUAUUUCUGCAAUCACCUUUGGACGAUCAUCUUGAAGGACUUAUAGAUAUAGAUAGUGAUGAAUCACUAACUGGUUCUCAUAUGACUGAUACGGCCAUUGAGAAAGUUGGUAUUUCGAAGACACCAGCUGCAAAACCAGCCGAGAUGAUUUGUUGAGACAAGAUGAAAGUGGAUGGCAAAGACAUCGAGAAUCCUCCCUUCAGAGGAGGUGCCUGUCCUACAGUGCCUUCAACGAAUGUUACAUCUAUGACUGAACUUAAAGUGAACCUUAAGCUGCCUAUAUACCAUUUUUAUAACAUAAGGAUCAAGUCAUAACGUAGUUCAAUGGUUUUUUUUCAUGUGACUGAACUUAAAGUGAACCUUAAGUUGCCUACGUACCCUUUUUAUAACAUAGGGAUCAAGUCAUAACGUAGUUCAAUGGUUUUUUUUUCAUGUGACUGAGACUGAACUUAAAGUGAACCUUAAGUUGCCUACGUACCCUUUUUAUAACAUAGGGAUCAAGUCAUAACGUAGUUCAAUAGUUUUUUUUUUUUCAUGUGACUGAACUUAAAGUGAACUUUAAGCUUCAUACGUACCCUUUUUAUCACAUAUGGAUCAAGUCAUAACGUAGUUCAAUAUUUUUUUUCAUGUGACUGAACUUAAAGUGAAUAUUAAGCUGCCUACGUACCCUUUUUAUAACAAAGGGAUCAAGUCAUAACGUAGUUCAAUGAUUUUUUUUCAUGUGACUGAACUUAAAGUGAAUCUUAAGUUGCCUACGUACCUUUUUUAUAACAUAGGAAUCAAGUCACAACGUAGUUUAAUGUUUUUUUUUACAAAACAAAAUUAAGCAUAAAACUUCUUGAGAAAUUUAUCGGUGAUUGGGCCAAUUCGUAAUCCUUCUUGAUCGAUGAUUUUGUAUGCUCCAAUUGUGAAAACUUUUUGACGAUGUAGGGUCCGUCCCAUUUAUAUGUGAAUUUAUUUCUCAUAUGUCUCGUCGUGAUGAUAGGUCUUCUUACUGCAAGCACUAACUCACCAAGAAGGACAUGGCGGAGCAUAAAGGGGAGAGUGACAGCAGCAAAAGUGAUCGUCAUUGGAAAAGACCUUUGAAGAAAGGGAAGACAUCAGGUGAUGAAUCUUGUGGAAGGGGCUCGAGUGCUAUGGGAAUUCCCGAUGUCCCACCAUUGCUUUGCAUCUUUUCCUUCUUUAAUACUUUUCUUUUACUGUUCAUCUUCUUCGUGAGCGAUUUAUCUAUUGCUUAUUUCUGCAAUCACC
rnacentral:lncRNA from 1 species